rnacentral:rRNA from 1 species
GACGAACCGUGCGAACGUUGUUCGGAAUCACUGGGCUUAAAGGGCGCGUAGGCGGUCGAUCAAGUCCGGGGUGAAAUCUUUCGGCUUAACCGGAAAAGUGCCUUGGAUACUGAUUGGCUGGAGGGAGGUAGGGGGAGCUGGAACUUCCAGUGGAGCGGUGAAAUGCGUUGAUAUUGGAAGGAAACUCCGGUGGCGAAAGCGAGCUCCUGGACCUCUUCUGACGCUGAUGCGCGAAAGCUAGGGGAGCAAACGGG